GACGAACGCUGGCGGCGUGCUUAACACAUGCAAGUCGAACGGAAAGGCCCUGCUUUUGUGGGGUGCUCGAGUGGCGAACGGGUGAGUAACACGUGAGUAACCUGCCCUUGACUUUGGGAUAACUUCAGGAAACUGGGGCUAAUACCGGAUAGGAGCUCCUGCUGCAUGGUGGGGGUUGGAAAGUUUCGGCGGUUGGGGAUGGACUCGCGGCUUAUCAGCUUGUGGGUGGGGUAGUGGCUUACCAAGGCUUUGACGGGUAGCCGGCCUGAGAGGGUGACCGGGCACAAUGGGACUGAGAGACGGCCCAGACUCCUACGGGAGGCAGCAGUGGGGAAUAUUGCACAAUGGGCGGAAGCCUGAUGCAGCAACGCCGCGUGCGGGAUGACGGCCUUCGGGUUGUAAACCGCUUUCGCCUGUGACGAAGCGUGAGUGACGGUAAUGGGUAAAGAAGCACCGGCUAACUACGUG
rnacentral:rRNA from 1 species